AUACACAAUAUUAAUGUCCGUGCU
rnacentral:siRNA from 1 species